rnacentral:rRNA from 1 species
GAUGAACGCUGGCGGCGUGCCUAAUACAUGCAAGUCGAGCGAACGGACGAGAAGCUUGCUUCUCUGAUGUUAGCGGCGGACGGGUGAGUAACACGUGGAUAACCUACCUAUAAGACUGGGAUAACUUCGGGAAACCGGAGCUAAUACUGGAUCAUAUUUUGAACCGCAUGGUUCAAAAGUGAAACACGGUUUUGCUGUCACUUAUAGCUGGAUCCGCGCUGCAUUAGCUAGUUGGUAAGGUAACGGCUUACCAAGGCAACGAUGCGUAGCCGACCUGAGAGGGUGAUCGGCCACACUGGAACUGAGACACGGUCCAGACUCCUACGGGAGGCAGCAGUAGGGAAUCUUCCGCAAUGGGCGAAAGCCUGACGGAGCAACGCCGCGUGAGUGAUGAAGGUCUUCGGAUCGUAAAACUCUGUUAUUAGGGAAGAACAUAUGUGUAAGUAACUGUGCACAUCUUGACGGUACCUAAUCAGAAAGCCACGGCUAACUACGUG